GAUGCUUCCUGCCAUACCCAACUAAAAUUAGGGCAUUCUAUCCACCGAGAGAGUGAUUGAAGCUCUGAAACAAACGAAAAAAUGGAGGCUUUUGGUGGGUACUUAGUCGACGAGAAAGCCAUAAGAGUGGAGAACAUUUUCUUGGACUUUCUCAAGAGCUUUAAAUUGGAUGGAGAAGUUUAUUACGAAGCCGAAAUUGAAGCCAUGCGAGCCAACGAAUCAACCACCAUGUUCAUCGAUUUCUCUCACGUUAUGCGCUUCAAUGAUGUUCUGCAGAAGGCGAUCGCCAACGAGUACUUGAGAUUUGAGCCGUAUUUGAAGAACGCCUGUAAGAGGUUUGUCACGGAGCAAAACCCGACUUUCAUUUCGGAUGAUAAUCCGAACAAAGAUAUAAAUGUAGCCUUUUUCAACAUCCCUUUUUUGAAACGAUUGAGAGAGUUGACUACAGCUGAAAUUGGGAAACUGGUGUCAGUAACCGGUGUUGUAACCCGCACUAGUGAGGUUCGGCCUGAGCUUCUACAAGGGACUUUCCGGUGCUUGGAUUGUGGAGGGGUCAUUAAGCACGUUGAGCAGCAAUUCAAGUACACUGAGCCUACUAUUUGUGUGAAUGCAACGUGUUCAAAUAGAAAUAAAUGGGCAUUACUUCGUCAGGAAAGUAAGUUUGCCGAUUGGCAGAGGGUAAGGAUGCAGGAGACUUCCAAAGAGAUUCCGGCUGGAUCUUUACCUAGGUCAUUGGAUGUUAUUCUCCGUCAUGACAUUGUUGAACAGGCUAGGGCUGGAGACACGGUCAUUUUCACUGGUACCGUGGUUGCCAUACCUGAUAUAAUGGCAUUGGCCUCUCCUGGGGAGAGGGCAGAAUGUCGUCGAGAAGCUAACCAGCGCAAGAAUUCUGCCGUUGGACAUGAUGGUGUGAGGGGUCUUCGAGCAUUGGGAGUGAGAGACCUCUCCUAUCGCAUGGCCUUUAUUGCUAAUUCUGUUCAGAUUGCUGAUGGUCGGAGGGAUAUUGACAUACGAAAUAGAAAGAAGGAUGCUGAUGAAGACGAACAAUAUCAAUUCAUGACAGAAGAGAUAGAUGAAAUCCAAAGAAUGAGAAAUGUGCCAGAUUUCUUCAAUAAGAUUGUUGAUAGCAUUGCUCCAACUGUCUUUGGUCACCAAGAUAUCAAGCGAGCCAUCCUGCUCAUGCUCUUGGGAGGUGUCCACAAGUUGACUCAUGAAGGCAUCAACCUUAGAGGAGAUAUAAAUGUUUGUAUAGUUGGAGAUCCCAGCUGUGCCAAAUCUCAGUUCCUCAAGUACACUUCUGGUAUAGUUCCUAGAUCUGUCUACACCUCAGGCAAGUCCUCUUCUGCUGCAGGUUUGACUGCAACUGUGGCCAAAGAACCAGAAACUGGGGAAUUCUGUAUAGAGGCUGGUGCACUGAUGCUUGCUGACAAUGGCAUUUGUUGCAUUGAUGAAUUUGACAAGAUGGACAUUAGGGACCAGGUUGCAAUUCAUGAAGCCAUGGAACAGCAGACAAUAAGCAUUACAAAAGCAGGGAUACAGGCGACGCUUAAUGCUCGAACAUCAAUACUAGCUGCAGCUAACCCUACUGGGGGCCGUUAUGAUAAGUCUAAACCACUUAAGUACAAUGUUGCCCUUGCUCCUGCUAUUCUUUCAAGAUUUGAUCUGGUAUAUGUGAUGAUUGAUGACCCAGAUGAUCAAACUGACUAUCACAUUGCCCACCACAUUGUCAGAGUUCAUCAGAAGCGUGAAAAUGCACUUGCUCCUGCAUUCACUACUGCACAACUGAAGCGAUACAUUGCAUAUGCAAAAACUUUGAAACCAAAGUUAAGCAUGGAAGCCAGGAAGUUGUUGGUGGACUCUUAUGUUGCUCUGCGUAGGGGCGAUACAGCUCCAGGUGGUAGAGUUGCAUAUCGCAUGACGGUUAGGCAGCUGGAGGCAUUGAUCAGGUUGUCUGAGGCCAUUGCUCGAAGUCAUUUAGAAACUCAGGUACAACCACGUCAUGUUAAAGUUGCAGUAAGACUACUGAAAACAUCUAUAAUCAGUGUGGAGUCAAGUGAGAUUGAUCUGUCUGAGUUUCAAGAAGAGAACGGUGAUAAUGGUAAUGCUGGUGAUAAUGGAAACGAUCCAAUCGGUAAUGGUGAUACUCAACCGACCAACAGGACUGCUGAACCACCUUCAGGAAAUGCUGAAAAUGGACCAAGCUUAUCAAACCGACAAGGGAAAACACUUGUGAUAAGUGAUGAAUAUUUUCAGAGGAUCACCCAAGCCCUUGUCAUGCGCCUUAGACAGCAUGAAGAAACUGUAGUCCAACAAGGAACUGGCCUUGCUGGAAUGAGGCAGAAGGACUUGAUAAAAUGGUAUAUUGACCAACAGAAUGAGAAAAAUACCUACAGUACUAUGGAGGAAGUUAAGAAGGAAAUUACCAAAAUCAAAGCUAUUAUUGAGAGCUUGAUACGAAGGGAAGGUCACCUAAUAGUGGUAGAUGAUGGCAGACAAGCAGCUGUCGAUGGUGAAUCUGAAAGACGUCCAUCUAGAGAUGACAGAAUUCUAGCUGUGGCUCCAAACUAUGUCAUUGAUUGAAGUUGAAAUACAUUGACAAGAACCUUUAAUGUAGCUGGAUGUAACUUAGUCAUCUGUUCCAAAGCAAGUCGGCAUUACAGUAAGAAAGUUUUUAGGGCACCUGAAGAAAGUCUUCUUACUGUCAAUUCCAUUCCACAGAUGGGCUGUCAAUUUCUGUUCUAGUUGGAUUUGUCCCACCAAUUGAAGGCUUCGUGGAAAAGAUUUACGUUCAUUACUAGUAUUGGUCAUCAUCACAAUAAGCCCCCUCAAAUUUGCCUAGAUAUAAGAAUGUUGGACAUGUUUGUGACUAUGGGUAGGGAUGGAUUCGAGUUAGGAAGAUUACAUGUUGAUUGUCAACUCCAUUUGAUUAGGUUUUGUAUAGUUGAAUUUGAGUUUUAGAGUGUUCAGAUUAUCAAAUUUGUUAGCCUAGAAGAGUUUAUUGUGAUUCGGUCUAAUGAUAUUAUUUUUUAGUAAGAUACAUAAAAAUGAUGUUGUUUUAUUUGA